UACGUAGGGGGCAAGCGUUGUCCGGAAUCAUUGGGCGUAAAGCGCGUGUAGGCGGUCAGUUAAGUCCGCUGUGAAAUCUCGAGGCUCAACUUCGAGCUGUCGGUGGAAACUGUCUGGCUAGAGUCCGGAAGAGGAGAAUGGAAUUCCUGGUGUAGCGGUGAAAUGCGCAGAUAUCAGGAAGAACACCCGUGGCGAAGGCGGUUCUCUGGGACGGUACUGACGCUGAGACGCGAAAGCGUGGGGAGCGAACAGG
rnacentral:rRNA from 1 species